rnacentral:lncRNA from 1 species
UUUCUAACUCUCUGCUUUGUGUUAUUUGCUGGACCUUUGGGGGUUCAGAUAUCCAGAUUGACAGGUUAUAUGUUAGCUUGUCCGAGUAGCGUGGUGAAGCUCCGCUCUGAUUGUGACACGGGGAGAAAAUGGGUUUUGUACAUAUAUAUAUAUAUAAAUUCCUUUAGAAAAUUACUCUGUAAUUGCUUAUGUUUUCAUAUAAGAAUUAUUCUUUGUGAAAAGUAUUGGUUUUGUAUAACUUAUAACACAUCGUGUUGAUGCGGAGGAUUUUGUAUUUUGUGAUAUUCAAACCAGCGCUUUAUAAUCAGAUUUUCAAUUUUUCCGCUGCGUAUUUACGAAAAAGAUUUUAUAAAGGCA